rnacentral:rRNA from 1 species
UACAGAGGUCUCAAGCGUUGUUCGGAUUCAUUGGGCGUAAAGGGUGCGUAGGCGGCGCGGUAAGUCGGGUGUGAAAUCUCGGGGCUUAACUCCGAAACUGCAUUCGAUACUGCCGUGCUUGAGGACUGGAGAGGAGACUGGAAUUCAUGGUGUAGCAGUGAAAUGCGUAGAGAUCAUGAGGAAGACCAGUGGCGAAGGCGGGUCUCUGGACAGUUCCUGACACUGAGGCACGAAGGCCAGGGGAGCAAACAGG